rnacentral:rRNA from 1 species
CAGUAGCCGCGGUAAUGCGAAGGGGGCUAGCGUUGCUCGGAUUUACUGGGCGUAAAGGGUGCGUAGGCGGAUCGUUUAGUUGGGGGUGAAAGCCCGGGGCUCAACCUCGGAAUUGCCUUCAAUACUGGCGGUCUUGAGUAUGGAAGAGGUAAGUGGAACUCCGAGUGUAGAGGUGAAAUUCGUAGAUAUACGGAGGAACACCGAUGGCGAAGGCAGCCCCCUGGGCCAAUACUGACGCUCAUGCACGAAAGCGUGGGGAGCAAACAGGAUUAGAUACCCCCGUAGUCCCUGUCUCUUAUAC